GACGAACGCUGGCGGCGUGCCUAAUACAUGCAAGUCGAACGCAGUGGGGACGGGUGAGUAACACGUGGGUAACCUCCCAUCAGAGGGGAUAACACUUGGCAACAGGUGCUAAACCGAUACUGAUGGAUGAACCCGCGGUGCAUUAGCUAGUUGGUGGGGUAACUGCUCACCAGGGCCACGAUGCAUAGCCGACCUGGGAGGUGGAUCGGCCACUCUGGGACUGAGACACUGCCCAGACUCCUACGGGAGGAAGCAGUGGGGAAUAUUGGGCAAUGGGCGAAAGUCUGACCGAGCGACGCCGCGUGAGUGAAGAAGGUUUUCGGAUCGUAAAACUCUGUUGUUAGAGAAGCGGUAUCUAACCAGAAAGCCACGGCUAACUACGUGCCAGCAGCCGCGGUAAUUC
rnacentral:rRNA from 1 species